AUAUAUAUAGUUUCAGAUUGGGUAAAAUGGUGGGUCAAACGUCCAUUUUACCGCCGUAUUGUUGGGUCUUUAGUCGAUUGUCGGGUCCCAAAGUCGAUUAUCGGGCACUUGGACCCGACAGUUGAAGACCCACUUAAUAAAAGGCUGCUUAACAUCCUCAUGACUAUUUUUUAAUUCAAAUUUGCGUAUGUAAUUUUACUCGAAUUGUCGGGCCUAUAUCUCCCAUUCGCAAACUUUAGAUCAAACUCCUCACGGCAGUUACUUCCCUUGGGCAUCUUCUAGAAUAAGGGAGGCCACUGAGCCCUUUUCGGAAAGUCGCAUAUCUCCCCUGAGUAUUCUCCGGAAUUGGAGGUUCUCAAUCGCUGGCAUUCGGUACCCCUCGCAGAUUAUCAUAAUACUUAUCCGAUGUUUGACGGAAAGGGCCGAGAAUGUGCGAUUGAAUCGCUGGGUAGUAUUGAUUUCCAGUAACAAUGGCGUCGAAUGAGAAAGAAAACGAUCGUUAUCUGUCUGACAUCGAAAUUGACAAAUUAAGUGUUGCACAAUUGAAGGAUUAUUUACGAUUUCAUAAUCAUUAUGUGUCAGGGAAUAAGAAUGAACUUGUCUUGAGGACAAAAGGCGUACAAAAGCUAGGAUUAAAUGAUCGACAGCUGCACAGGAAUGCGGAAGUAAAUUAUGAAAAAAGGAAAACAGAAAAACUUUUUACGCCACUCGGUGAAAAGCUGCCACAUCCAGAUGUAUUAAAAACGUUGAGUAGUGACUUAAUGGACUUUCCUACAUUAAUAGAUAGUGACAUCUACAAUUAUUUUGUGCUGAAAAUGAACACACAAAAACAAUUGAGAUCAAAAAAUUGUAUUAUGUUUACAGACAUAAACACAGUAUUUUGUACCAUGACAUAAGUGACAAAUGGGAACAUUGUUUUGUUAAAUGCAAAGUAUUACCAUCACUACCGAGUGCAAAUGUGAAAGAAAACCCAGAUCACAGUGUGUGGCUCUGUCUGUCAAAGGUCACUGGACAGGUUCAUUCAGCGGAAUGUAAUUGCACAGCCGGGAGCGGAGAAGCAUGUAUCCAUAUUGGUGCAUUUAUGUAUGCCCUUUCUGAUCUCACUGCUAAAAAGAAGGACGGCACUCUAAGAUCAACCUCAAAAAAAUGCGUGUGGGACAGAUUUAAUAAUCCCCGGAAAAGAAAGCGAACGCCUAAAAAGUCUAGCGAAUUUACAUUUCGGAAACAUACCUUUGAGUCAAAAUUAGAGCCAGUCGAAAAUAACACCAGAAAAGAACUUCUUGCGAUUUCUGUAAAUGAGAACAGUUUCCGUUCAAAACUCGAAAAUAUGCAACCCAACAGCUGGAUGGCUUUUGAACUUUGUAGAAGAGAAGGAAGAGGUGAAAUUACCAAAGUUUAUAGAAAUUGGAUAUAACUUUAGUGAUAGCGUAGAUCUGAAUAGUGAAACUGUGAAGGAUAAAAUGUCGAAAAUGAUGGAUAUGCUACAAAUGGAUGAACUUGAAUGCCAAAGUAUUGAAAAAUUAACCAGAGGUCAGGGAAAGAACGUACUUUGGGAAGAUGAAAGAAAAUUACGUGUAACUGCAUCCAAUUUUGGUGAAGUAAUUUUACUGAAACAAGAGACUGAAAGAUUUAAAAGAAAUUGAGUGCAAUCUUUAAAGAAUAGUAACAAAUAUGAAUUUAAGAUCACAAUUGUGAAUUUCUCGCAAGCUUACCCUUGCUCCUAGAAUAUGUUUUUAUAAUUUUGAUGUCUCACUUUUCUCUAGAGAUUAACCCUUUACUUCUUAAAUAUGUAUUUUCAAGCUUUUGUAGUUCCUUAAAAAGUUAAAUGUAAUAAAGUACCUUUAUUACUAAAUUUAAGUUUUAAAGGCUUCAUUUCCAACCCUUAAAUACUGAUGAGCAGCAAACAGUAUAAAACCUGAACAGACUGCGAGUUACUAGCAUGCUGUUCUGGUUUUAUGCUGUUUUCACUGUGCUUCCAAGUGGAAUAGGGUUAAAUAACAAAAGUUAACGCCAGAUCAGAAAAUAAUUUAAGUAACAACAGUACAGGACAUCAUUGAGGUCCCUCCUUUUUUAUGUUUCAAUAGUCAUUUAGCUCUACAAAGCAUAUAAAUAUUGUACAUAAAAGUGUAUGAAUGUAUAAAUAUUUAUCAACUGUUCAUAUUAUGAAUUUUACAGUAGUACAUGUAGAAUGCUUUUCAACGAUUUGUGUACGGUUCAUUAAUACCAUCACAACGUGAUUGUCAAUUGUUAUUCCGCUAAAUUGAUUUGCUCUUAAAAUGAUAAAUCAUAAAAAGAA